AAAAACCUCAAGCGAGGCCGGUCGGCGCGUAGCAUUGUGGGAAAUGUAGUUUGGUGGCCUCGACUUGUUUGUGGUUUAGGUGGAGGAGUGCGGGAGGGGAAGCGAGCGGGAAAGGGGAUACUCAGACCCAGGAGAUGGGGUGGCAAGAGGAAUGAAGUGCGAAGAGCAGUGCAGAACUUUCCGUAUCCUUAAACCAAUCUGGACCUUCAUUUAUCUCGGCUGGCAUACGGAGAGGCCAAUAUUAUUCCUCACCACAUACCCUUGUGAGGACCUGGAAGAAUUACCGAUGGUAACAAUGUGAGUUCAUGCUAUUGUCCAGUGAAGGAGCCAAAAGCAAGGGAAGAGGAGAAGGAGUAAAAGAAGGAGGAGUAAACAGACCUUGACUCCUUCCCAGCUGCAGGUUGUGGAGCCAUAGAUCGCACCAGACAUUGGAGGGGAUUUGGUGCCCUGAAAACCCUGUGCAAGAGUAUGCUGGGGACCACCUCCUACAGAAGGGAAGGGAAGAGAGCAAAGUUGGAAGGAAGGAGAGAUCCAGCUGUGGUGCGGGUCCAAUAACAGAGUCUUGGCCAAUGCCCUUCAGAAUCGCCCUGAAUCGGGCAAGAUGGUCAGGCUUCUAUAACCCCACAUGGAUUGUCACCAAGGUGUGAGUAGGAUCGUGGCUGAGGCAGCUGUUUGCAUUCAGAAAAUUCCUGAAAGGGUUGGGAGAGCUGAGAGACAGCUGAAGAAGACUCUCAACCAAUAGCACUCCCAGGUAGGAGGGCGACGUGUCCUUCAUUGAAGGAGACACGUCCUGCAUCUGAGUAGUGCAUCACAAUACCCACCAGAUGCCCCUUUCUGGGAGAAAGUCUGAUAAGAAAGCAAGAGUCAGUCCUCAGCAAAACCAUAAAGAAGACAGCUUGGUUUGAGUGUCCCUCUUAAGAUUCCCCUUCUUGUGAAGACUGACUCCUUUCCUUUUCCCUAGAAAGCCAGUGCUUUCAUGCUGCCCUGUGCUGGAUCCCGCCAUUUUCUCACCACCUCUAAGAAUUUCUGCAGACAUUGUCCUGUUUCUCGGGGAUUAAAUACACUAGGACUUUGCUUCUGUCUCUCAAAUUACAGGUUUCUUGUGCAUUUUAACAGAGAUCACCUAUAUCUUCACACAAAUUAGUGAUUCAUGUGGAGAAUUUCUGGAAUUAUAGUCAGGAAAGCUGUUUUUCCACCCACCUCUGCUCCUUCUCAGAUAACUUUCCUUCUUCAUCAAAUACAUCUUCUAGUUCUGUGUGUGUGUGUGUGUGUGUGUGUGUGUACUUUUUAAUUUUUUGUAGCAGAUGAAAAUCCAGGAUACCAGGACAGAACCAGAUUCCAUGAGAUUCUGGAAUGUAGCUGAAAACAUUGUGACAUUGUUUCCCACCCUACGGUCUAGUAGAGGGGCAAAGAAGAGUCCCAGGAAUUAGUACUAAAAAGAGAAAAAAGCCCUGGGGCCCCUGGAAAAGAAAGGAGAGGGAUCUUAGGAUGCUGGUUGUGGCCUGAGAAAGGACUCCAAGGUGGAAGAGAGGGACCCAUGUUCCUAGAAGACAAAGCACUCCACAAAAAACAACUCCAACAGCUACCAAGUGAUGGCAUCUCUAACUCAGGCUCCCAUCACUCAUCUGUGUUCAGCAUUUUCAUUGCCUGGGGCUAUGAAAGCCCCUUUUUCAUUGGGGUUUCACGUAUUUGUGGAGUAAGUGGCUAGUGUUGGGCUUUGAAGUCCAAUAUGACCUGACAGAAUUUGAAAAGAUCUGCAUGGACUCAAAAGGAUGCACACCUUUCAAUCCAUUGUCUAACAUGCCUUCCAAACUGUUACUUCAUUCUCUAGAAAGAUGAACCUUUAUUUAACUUUCUUUCACAGUUAAUACAAAAAUAGUAUACUUAUUUAUUAUAAAUUUUGCAGAUAAUUUCUACUUUGUGAUCGAUUCUUUUUGAUAUCAUCCAAGUUCUCCAAGGUUAACACAUUAUUUUUAUAACCAGAAAAAGAAAUAAUUAGCAGUUUUGGUUUUUUUAUGAAUGAAAUGAUGUGAUUAGGACCCAGACUCUUAACUUACAGACUUUUGUCUGGUAGAGAUGUAAAUAGUUUCUAUUCAGCAGAAAACUCAACCCUAAACUGUGUGGUAUCAUUGCCCCAUUGGAUAUUUCCCAGUUCUAUAUGUCUCUUCGAAAUCUCUGUGCCUCACAUUCCUCCCUUGUAGGUAGGGAUAAUAGUACUUAUCUCAUAGGUUUGUUGUGUGCGUUAAAUGAGACACUCCAUAUAAAACACUCGGAGAAGAGUCUAUAAUAGUAAACAAUAGUGCUGCCUGUUAUUAUUACAGACUCAUUUAACUGAAAAAUCUAGGGCAUAUCCUUCAGGUAUGGCUCAAGUAAGUCACGAGAUCUUGCAUCCUCACAACUCCACCCAAAUCCUUCACUAAGAGAAUGUUUCUGUCUUGGCUCCUCUACCAAGAACAUUGGGACUGACUGUUUGGAAAGACUCGUGUACACUUGUCAAUGCAGGUGCCAGUGGGGCGGGCAGCAGCAGGCAGCAGGUGCUCCAGGCAGAGGCAAAGACACAAGAGACUCCAUUCCCUGGAAUCUGGGUCCUGCUAUCAUGGAUUAAGACCCUAAAGUCCUACACAGCCCCAGUAGCCCUGCUUAUUUCUAUUUCAUCAUUUUUUUUUAACAUUUGUUUAUUUUUGAGAAAGAAAGAAAGUGCGAGCAGGGGAGGGGCAGAGAGAGAGGGAGACACAGAAUCCAAAGCAGGGUCUAGGCUCUGAGCUGUCAGCACAGAGCCUGAUGUAGGGCUCAAACUCACAGACCGUGAGAUCAGGACCUGAGCCAAAGUUGGACGCCCAACGGACUGAGCCACCCAGGCGCCCUUCUACUUCAUGAUUUUAGGCUAAGACUGUCAAGUGCUUAAUAGCAGUUAACAUGGUAUCUUUCCUUAAAAAUGAUUCUCUAUGCAUUAAAUUUUUUUUUUUAAAGGGGGACAUCUGGGUGGCUCCGUUGGUUGAGCAACCAACUUCAGCUCAGGUCAUGAUCUUGCAGUUUGUGAGUUCAAGUCCUGAGUCAGGCUCUCUGCUGACAGCUCGGAGCCUGGAGCCUGCUUUGGAUUCUGUGUCUCUGCCUCUCUCUGCCCCUCCUCUGCUCAUGCUCUGUCUGUCUCUCUCAAUAAUAAAUAAACGUUAAAAAAAAAAAAAAAAAGAUUCUCUAUGAACUUAGUCCAAAGACAG